GGGGUUGUGGCUCAGUGGUAGAGUGCUCGCCUAGCACGUGUGAAGAGGCCAUGGGUUCAAACCUCAGCACCA
rnacentral:tRNA from 1 species